UACGAAGGGGGCGAGCGUUGUUCGGAAUUACUGGGCGUAAAGGGCGCGUAGGCGGCGAACCAAGUCAGAUGUGAAAGUCCUGGGCUUAACCUGGGGACUGCAUUUGAUACUGGUUUGCUUGAGUUCGGGAGAGGAUAGCGGAAUUCCCAGUGUAGAGGUGAAAUUCGUAGAUAUUGGGAAGAACACCGGUGGCGAAGGCGGCUAUCUGGACCGACAUUGACGCUGAGGCGCGAAAGCGUGGGGAGCAAACAGG
rnacentral:rRNA from 1 species